AACACAAAAACAUCUACUAUCUACGAACACAUUUAUUGAUUUGAGUGUCUGACGUACUAGAUGUACUUAAUGUUUAUUUUAUACUAUGUCAUUUGGACCAAGUGUUUUAAAAAAUGACAAUUUUUUUUAGGAGAAGGCUAUGUAUAUCAAAGACAACCACAUUUAGCUUUACAAGCAGUGUUUAGGACUUAAAACAAUUUUUCCUUUUUGCUUCAGAAUAUCAAUAGCUGACAUACUUGGUUUUUACCUUUUUACAAAAUUCUUCAUUCAGGAAUAAAAUCAAACACUUAUUUUAUUUAAAUAUAAACAGAAGAGGCAUCACCUAUGUAGGGAUCACUUAUGCAUGUAUAAAUUGAUUUCUAGUAAAAAGAUAGUACGAACCUUAUAUACAUGUAGAUAUAAGACAC
rnacentral:lncRNA from 1 species